rnacentral:rRNA from 1 species
AUUGAACGCUGGCGGCAUGCUUUACACAUGCAAGUCGAACGGUAACAGGUUAAGCUGACGAGUGGCGAACGGGUGAGUAAUGCAUCGGAACGUGCCCGGUCGUGGGGGAUAACGCAGCGAAAGUUGCGCUAAUACCGCAUACGAUCUGAGGAUGAAAGCGGGGGACCGUAAGGCCUCGCGCGAUCGGAGCGGCCGAUGUCAGAUUAGGUAGGUGGUGGGGUAAAGGCUCACCAAGCCAACGAUCUGUAGCUGGUCUGAGAGGACGACCAGCCACACUGGGACUGAGACACGGCCCAGACUCCGACGGGAGGCAGCAGUGGGGAAUUUUGGACAAUGGGCGAAAGCCUGAUCCAGCAAUGCCGCGUGCAGGAAGAAGGCCUUCGGGUUGUAAACUGCUUUUGUACGGAGCGAAAAGGUCUCCUCUAAUACAGGGGGCUCAUGACGGUACCGUAAGAAUAAGCACCGGCUAACUACGUGCCAGCAGCCGCCGUAA